UAGCUUGAAUGCAGGGGAGACACCAUGAUUGGGCAGGUGGUUUUUCCAGGACGAGGCUCAUCCCUUGCACUCCGGGUGUGCUGACCCCUGCGAUUUCCCCAAAUGCGGGAAACUGGACUGCAUAAUUGGUGGUACUGGGGGACCGUGUUCGCACUCUCCCCUU
ensembl:snRNA U1 U1 spliceosomal RNA